rnacentral:rRNA from 1 species
UCCAGACUCCUACGGGAGGCAGCAGUGGGGGAUAUUGCACAAUGGGGGGAACCCUGAUGCAGCGACGCCGCGUGGGUGAAGGAGCGUUUCGGCGCGUAAAGCCCUAUCGGCAGGGAAGAAGGAGGACGGUACCUGACUAAGAAGCCCCGGCUAACUACGUGCCAGCAGCCGCGGUAAUACGUAGGGGGCAAGCGUUAUCCGGAUUUACUGGGUGUAAAGGGGGCGCAGACGGCAGCGCAAGCCAGGAGUGAAAGCCCGGGGCCCAACCCCGGGACUGCUCUUGGAACUGCGCGGCUGGAGUGCAGGAGGGGCAGGCGGAAUUCCUGGUGUAGCGGUGAAAUGCGUAGAUAUCAGGAGGAACACCGGUGGCGAAGGCGGCCUGCUGGACUGCGACUGACGUUGAGGCCCGAAAGCGUGGGGAGCAAACAGGAUUAGAUACCCCGGUACAC